rnacentral:rRNA from 1 species
GACGAACGCUGGCGGCGUGCUUAACACAUGCAAGUCGAACGAGAAGAGAUGAGAAGCUUGCUUCUUAUCAAUUCGAGUGGCAAACGGGUGAGUAACGCGUAAGCAACCUGCCCUUCAGAUGGGGACAACAGCCGGAAACGGCUGCUAAUACCGCAUAAUGCAUUGGAUUCGCAUGUUUCUGAUGCCAAAGAUUUUAUCGCUGAAAGAUGAGCUCGCGUCUGAUUAGCUAGUUGGCGGGGUAACGGCCCACCAAGGCGACGAUCAGUAGCCGGACUGAGAGGUUGAACGGCCACAUUGGGACUGAGACACGGCCCAG